rnacentral:rRNA from 1 species
ACAUGCAAGUCGAACGAAGUAGCAAUACUUAGUGGCAGACGGGUGAGUAACAUGUAGGUAUCUGCCCUUUGGCCUGGAAUAACACGAGGAAACUUGUGCUAAUACCGGAUAAGUCUUUACGGAGAAAGCUUUAUGCACCAUUGGAUGAGCCUGCACUUGAUUAGUUUGUUGGUAGGGUAAUGGCCUACCAAGACUGUGAUCAAUAGCUGAUUUGAGAGGAUGAUCAGCCACAUUGGGACUGAGACACGGCCCAAACUCCUACGGGAGGCAGCAGUGGGGAAUCUUGCACAAUGGAGGAAACUCUGAUGCAGCGAUGCCGCGUGAGUGAAGAAGGCCCUUGGGUUGUAAAGCUCUUUCGUCGGGGAAGAAAAUGACUGUACCCGAAUAAGAAGGUCCGGCUAACUUCGUGCCAGCAGCCGCGGUAAUACGAAGGGACCUAGCGUAGUUCGGAAUUACUGGGCUUAAAGAGUUCGUAGGUGGUUGAAAAAGUUGGUGGUGAAAUCCCAGAGCUUAACUCUGGAACUGCCAUCAAAACUUUUCAGCUAGAGUAUGAUAGAGGAAAGCAGAAUUUCUAGUGUAGAGGUGAAAUUCGUAGAUAUUAGAAAGAAUACCAAUUGCGAAGGCAGCUUUCUGGAUCAUUACUGACACUGAGGAACGAAAGCAUGGGUAGCGAAGAGGAUUAGAUACCCUCGUAGUCCAUGCCGUAAACGAUGUGUGUUAGACGUUGGAAAUUUAUUUUCAGUGUCGCAGCGAAAGCGAUAAACACACCGCCUGGGGAGUACGACC